UACGUAGGGGGCAAGCGUUGUCCGGAAUUAUUGGGCGUAAAGAGCGCGUAGGCGGUCCGAUAAGUCGGCUGUGAAAGUCAGGGGCUCAACCCUUGGAAGCCGGCCGAUACUGUCGGACUAGAGUCCGGAAGAGGCGAGUGGAAUUCCUGGUGUAGCGGUGAAAUGCGCAGAUAUCAGGAGGAACACCGGUGGCGAAGGCGGGUCUCUGGGCCGAUACUGACGCUGAGGAGCGAAAGCGUGGGGAGCGAACAGG
rnacentral:rRNA from 1 species